rnacentral:rRNA from 1 species
AACGAACGCUGGCGGCAGGCUUAACACAUGCAAGUCGAGCGAGACCUUCGGGUCUAGCGGCGGACGGGUGAGUAACGCGUGGGAACGUGCCCUUCUCUACGGAAUAGCCCCGGGAAACUGGGAGUAAUACCGUAUACGCCCUUUGGGGGAAAGAUUUAUCGGAGAAGGAUCGGCCCGCGUUGGAUUAGGUAGUUGGUGGGGUAAUGGCCCACCAAGCCGACGAUCCAUAGCUGGUUUGAGAGGAUGAUCAGCCACACUGGGACUGAGACACGGCCCAGACUCCUACGGGAGGCAGCAGUGGGGAAUCUUAGACAAUGGGGGCAACCCUGAUCUAGCCAUGCCGCGUGAGUGAUGAAGGCCUUAGGGUUAUAAAGCUCUUUCAGCUGGGAAGAUAAUGACGGUACCAGCAGAAGAAGCCCCGGCUAACUCCGUG